GUGGGGAAUCUUCCGCAAUGGACGAAAGUCUGACGGAGCAACGCCGCGUGAGUGAUGAAGGUCUUCGGAUUGUAAAGCUCUGUUAAUCGGGACGAAAGAGCCUAGUGUGAAUAAUGCUAGGAAGUGACGGUACCGGAAUAGAAAGUCACGGCUAACUACGUGCCAGCAGCCGCGGUAAUACGUAGGUGGCAAGCGUUGUCCGGAAUUAUUGGGCGUAAAGCGCGCGCAGGCGGAUCUGCCAGUUUGUCUUAAAAGUUCGGGGCUUAACCCCGUGAUGGGAUGGAAACUACAGAUCUAGAGUAUCGGAGAGGAAAGUGGAAUUCCUAGUGUAGCGGUGAAAUGCGUAGAUAUUAGGAAGAACACCAGUGGCGAAGGCGACUUUCUGGACGAAAACUGACGCUGAGGCGCGAAAGCCAGGGGAGCGAACGGGAUUAGAAACCCGAGUAGUCC
rnacentral:rRNA from 1 species